ensembl:lncRNA
UUCUGGGAUAUGGUAGGCCACGAAGGACACACCCGACCCAUCCUUCAAAUUCGGGGAAAAGGAGGACGCAUUUGUCGGCUGUAUUCGGAGGAGUCUACGAAUUUGGACAGCCUUCGGCGCGUCGCUGUGACGUAAUCGUUCUACAAAUGCGGCCUCAGGAGGAUGCAGCCCAUGAAUUUGGACACGAGCGACCCAUUUCCUGGGCAAUGGCAUUAAGACCUAUCCAAUGACUCCCAUCCGUGGGCACCAUGAGCAGUUUGCCUAAAAACUGUGAAAAACUUGCAGGCUUGGCCUGAGUAGCUUCAGCUUCUGCUGUCUUCACCUUGUCCUCUGGACUGGACUUUUCUGAUACAGAUCCCUUCGUAUUGUUGGGAACACCGCUUAUUUCCCUAGCCAAGAUGAACAGCAAAAACACAAACGAUUCUGCUGUCCUCAUUGUUCUCUCGUCAGUGUACCUGGAGCUAACUGAAUCGAAGACAGAUAAAGUUGGAGCACGUCUGAAUAUAUUGUUUGAAUUCCUCAUUGAAUUAGCAGAUUGCAUUUGUGUGUGUUCAAAGUCCUUCCUGUCUCUGUUGGGAAUAGGUAAGCGGACCAUGAACGUAAUAACCCUGCUAAAGGAAUCAUUACAGAGGAUGUGCGAGGCUUUAACGUGUCAAAGGUUCAAUGCAGAUGACUUAGGCUCCUUCACUCAUUUACUGUUUUUCAAGGUAGAAUAUUACAGCAGGUCCAUAAGAUAUUGUGUGAAGUGGAAAGGAUCCAUGUGUCCCCAACGCUCCAACAGACAGCCUAGGGCCUCCAAGAAGAACACCAAGACAAGCCCCGCUCCAGAGGAAGAAGUCAUCCAGCGUCAGCUGAGAGGGCGGAGGGGGAAAGGCAGUACUGGUGACAGCCUCUGUAUCGCAGGUGAGGGAACAGGGUGCGACAUCCUCGACAUCAUUACCACUCAGGAAGAGAAGCAUGUUGGUGAAGAAGAUGGGGGAAAGGCGGUAGAGAUAGCUCAUAAAGAACUGGACGACUUGGAUGAAGACCGAGUCUCUGUUUGCAGCAGCACAGCGUCUGGUCCCUCUUUUUAUCACUCCACCUACAGAAAAGCGAGGCCUUCCCAGAACCUGUGCUUGGCCUGUCAGAAGCUCUACCAGAAAGCAAAGAAGAUAAAAACACCAAUCAUAAACAAACUGCUGGACAAUGAUCCUAUGUCCCCGACAUGUGACCAGUGGGUCCUUAUCAAAAAGCGGACAUCCCAAAGGUGGCCUGAUGCAAGAGGGAAGCUUUUGAGCCACAUAAAGAAGAUAAAGAAGGCCUGUGAGAAACAAAGUGAGCAGCGUGUGGAAGAAUCUGCCGUCUGUUCAAGGCCGCACACUUUCCUCCACAGGAACCUCAGACGAUGUGUGAAAGCGAAAAAGGAGAGGAAGAAGAAUAAGAACAGGAGGAAGAGACAGAGAGACGGUUCGCAGGGUACUCGUGCCGCUAAGCAGCAGCGUCUCCACACCAACACUCCCAUCAAGAUGACCUGUGUAGAGCCAAACAGCCGCCGAAAAAGCAGCAGUCAGGGGAACAGAGGUGUGACUGCUGAGGCGAUUCCCUCGUCUGUGACACAGGAAGCCACCACACCAAGCAAGAGAACACCAAAGCAGACGGGUAGAUUCAGAAACUUGCUGGCUGAGCUACGGAGCAAGAGCAGCAUGAUUGUAAGAGAAACACACUAGUGAGGAGGCAGGAUUCGAGUGCUAAUCGCUUUUAGUCGUGAUGUUCUGCUGGUCUUCAGUAUUGUUACCUAUUCGGUGGCCUAUGCCUAGAGUUACUUGACAAAGUGCCGUCGCAGUUCUGUGCAUGUUUUGUUUGUGAUCCUUUAAAAUUAAAAAUAAUAUUUAUUUAAUGUUCCUUACAACUGGACAGCUGUGAAUAAAUGUUUAUGUUGAUCUCA